rnacentral:rRNA from 1 species
GACGCCCAACAGCUAGCCCGCCAAACCAAAAACAACCAAUCACUAUUUAUAACCCCUAACACACCAAUGUUAUUAUAAACAAACCAUUUUUCCCCCUGAGUAUGGGAGACAGAAAAGGGCCCAAGGCGCCAUAGAGAAAGUACCGCAAGGGAACGCUGAAAGAGAAAUGAAAUAACCCAGUAAAGCUUAAAAAAGCAGAGAUAAAGCCUCGUACCUUUUGCAUCAUGAUUUAGCCAGUGUAACCCAAGCAAAGAGCCCUUUAGUUUGACUACCCGAAACUACGUGAGCUACUCCAAGACAGCCUAUUAAUAGGGCAAACCCGUCUCUGUGGCAAAAGAGUGGGAAGAGCUUUGAGUAGAGGUGACAGACCUACCGAACCUAGUUAUAGCUGGUUGCCCGGAAAUUGGAUAGAAGUUCAGCCUCCCGGCUUCUUUGUUCACUUCAGUCUUACCCUUUCUGAUAGCCGUGAGAAACCGUGAGAGUUAUUCAAAGGGGGUACAGCCCCUUUGAAACAAGAUACAACUUUUCCAGGAGGGUAAAGAUCAUA